rnacentral:tRNA from 2 species
GCUCCAGUAGCUCAAUGGAUAGAGCAGCAGCCUUCUAAUCUGCCGGUUGUAGGUUCGACUCCUACCUGGGGCGCGA